AGAGUUUGAUCCUGGCUCAGGACGAACGCUGGCGGCGUGCCUAAUACAUGCAAGUCGAGCGAGCGGAACCAACAGAUUUACUUCGGUAAUGACGUUGGGAAAGCGAGCGGCGGAUGGGUGAGUAACACGUGGGGAACCUGCCCCUAAGUCUGGGAUACCAUUUGGAAACAGGUGCUAAUACCGGAUAAUAAAGCAGAUCGCAUGAUCAGCUUUUGAAAGGCGGCGUAAGCUGUCGCUAAGGGAUGGCCCCGCGGUGCAUUAGCUAGUUGGUAAGGUAACGGCUUACCAAGGCGACGAUGCAUAGCCGAGUUGAGAGACUGAUCGGCCACAUUGGGACUGAGACACGGCCCAAACUCCUACGGGAGGCAGCAGUAGGGAAUCUUCCACAAUGGACGCAAGUCUGAUGGAGCAACGCCGCGUGAGUGAAGAAGGUUUUCGGAUCGUAAAGCUCUGUUGUUGGUGAAGAAGGAUAGAGGUAGUAACUGGCCUUUAUUUGACGGUAAUCAACCAGAAAGUCACGGCUAACUACGUGCCAGCAGCCGCGGUAAUACGUAGGUGGCAAGCGUUGUCCGGAUUUAUUGGGCGUAAAGCGAGCGCAGGCGGAAAAAUAAGUCUAUGUGAAAGCCCUCGGCUUAACCGAGGAACUGCAUCGGAAACUGUUUUUCUUU
rnacentral:rRNA from 1 species